rnacentral:rRNA from 1 species
AACGAACGCUGGCGGCAUGCCUAACACAUGCAAGUCGAACGAGACCUUCGGGUCUAGUGGCGCACGGGUGCGUAACGCGUGGGAACCUGCCCUUAGGUUCGGAAUAACUCCCCGAAAGGGGUGCUAAUACCGGAUAAUGUCUUCGGACCAAAGAUUUAUCGCCUUUGGAUGGGCCCGCGUUGGAUUCGCUAGUUGGUAGGGUAAAAGCCUACCAAGGCGACGAUCCAUAGCUGGUCUGAGAGGAUGAUCAGCCACACUGGGACUGAGACACGGCCCAGACUCCUACGGGAGGCAGCAGUGGCGAAUAGUGGACAAUGGGCGAAAGCCUGAUCCAGCAAGGCCGCGUGAGUGAUGAAGGCCUGAGGGUUGUAAAGCGCUUGUACCCGGGAUGAUAAUGACAGUACCGGGAGAAUAAGCUCCGGCUAACUCCGUG